CUUUGGGUGAGCCUUGAAGUUGAGCUUCCAAAGGUAGAAGGAAUGAAGGAGCAAUGACAAGACCCAGACCUGCUCAUCUUAAUCAACUUUUAAGGUUGCCAUCGCCAGCAGCAGCAGAAAGCAACUCCGAGAAGCAGAGCAUUGAAAUCAUAUAGCAGCAUCAUCCAGACCUGCAGAAUCAUACGUGAUCAUAGCCAGUUCACACUGAAAAAAGCCUUGUAGGAGAUUCGCCAACCUAAUCAUUCAGCUUACAGGUGCCUGAAACAAAGAAAAGAAAUGCAGAUAAUUGGAUCUUCAUGACAUUUUCCCAACUGGCCACUUUCCCUGUAACAAGACCAAGCCUGUCUCUUCCAUUGUACUCUCGUGAGCUACCUGGGUCAGAACCUGAAAUCUUGGCGCAGAAGUCCUGUGGCCUGCCUAUAAACUUCUCAUUCCCGGCAGCUGGCACAUGCAUGGCCCAAUAAAUAUUUCUUGAUUGAAUGGAAGGAGCUGUGAAUAGUGGCCUCCUCAAGCAAAGGACAUUUUAUCUCCCAAAGGGAAAUCUACUUUGUUGAUAUGAAAGUGAGCUUCUUAAUAGGUCUACGGGGCAACAUUUUGCUAACCCCAUUCAAAUUAUAACAGACUUCAAAGUCAUAAAGGCAGUAAUAUGCUUCCUUUUAAGUGUGUAAUUUGUAUUUUUUUACACCCAGGAAUGGAAAACAGGGAGUGAAAUAUCCCCCAAUUAUUAUUUUGUGCUUUUGAGGCAGGAUGGCCCACUCACCUGUGGGGACUCUGGUGGCCAAGCACCUCCCACCUCAUUCUUGGCAAUUGUUUUCAUCUGCCUCCCUUCACACUGGCCCUAGCUCAGGUCUGGAAUCUUCCCAGGGUCUGACCUCUGAGUGUCUGUCUCAUGCAAUUCUGCUGCCCUGGUAUUGACUCUCAGGACACAGAAGUAUACUCUCUGCCACAUUCAUGACCACCCUGGGUGACGUGUCAAGGCAUCUUAGUGCAGCCCUGAGUCCCUUGGAGGGAAAUGGCCCCAGUCUGCUUCCUGUUUGAGGUAGCUCUGUUCUGGAUCACUUGGUCCUCCCCUCUCCCUCCUGCCACUGCUGAUUGCAUUGUGGUGAUCACCCCAAGGUCAUCCCAAAGGCAGGCUGCCGUGUAGAGCCUGGCUUGGCACAGGAGGCCCCAGCCAAUGAUCUCUGAUGCUGACCUCAUGCUCCAGGUGCCUGAAACAAAGAAAAGAAAUGCAGAUAAUUGGAUCUUCAUGACAAUUUCCCAACUGGCCACUUUCCCUGUAACAAGACCAAGCCUGUCUCUUCCAUAUGGGUCAGCCAUAUCCCACCCACUCCUCCUGGGAUUUGACUUGGGGAAUGUGGACAGAAUCACACAGUCAGUAGAAGUUGGAAAGUAGGCGGAAGUGGCCACAUGGGGUAGGGACAUAUCAGAGUUAUGAUGAAUCAGAAGCAGAAGCCCCAAGUUGAAGAAGAGAUACAAAGCUUGGAAGCAGGAAGAGAUGGAGCGGACACACAAAGGAAUCCAACACUGGAGAACGGCAACGUAAAGGUGGCGUGCUAGGGGAAAGCUCCAGAAUUCCUGCAGCUGGGCGCUGGAGCCACCCUGAACUUUCAAAGACCUCCCUAUUCCAGUCUCCACAAUCCCAGGUCCUGGUAUGUCCCUGGAUUUGGGGGGAGAUUCUGGCUCCUUUGUAGCACCACAAUAAACCCUUAUUGCCUGAGUUAUCCCAAGUGACUCCCUGUUCUUUAUGGGCUCACAAGCCAACACACC
rnacentral:lncRNA from 1 species